rnacentral:ncRNA from 1 species
AAAAGAGUUUUCUUGUUCUGGUUUACUUUAACUAAGAUUUUACAUGUAAAUUUAAGGGAGAAGAUAGGAAGUUUUUAGAUAAAAUUUGAUUAUUUAAUCGCAGUAGGGAGAUUUGUGAUAUUUAGGAAACUAAGAAACAGUCGGUUAUAAAAUAUAGACUAAGUUUGUGCCAGCAGUAGCGGUUAUACAGACUAUGUAUUAGUAAAUUGAAUAGUUUUAGAUAAAUGAUUUAAUGAAUAAAGAGUAAAAAUUUAUUAGGUGAAAUUUUAAGCUUUAAGGGGAUUCAAUAAAAUAUUUUAAUCUAGAAAAUUUUUUAUAAAAGACUAGGAUUAGAUACCCUAUUAUUAAAAAGGUAAGAUUUAGAACUAAAUUAGUAGUAGAUAAAAUUGUAAAAAUAAUGGAAAUUGGCGGUUUUUUAGUCUAUUCAGAGGAACCUGUUCUGUAAUUGAUAGUCCACGUUUUUAUUUACUUAUUUUUUUUAAUUUACAUAUCGCCGUAGAUUGAAUAUAUUCCUAGAUCAAAAAUGUUCAAAAUUUCUAUUAAAAGAAUAUCAGGUCAAGAUGUAGUUUAUAAAUAAGAAGAGAUGGGUUACAAUAAAUUUAUUUAAAUGAAUAAAAAGUUUAAAAAAUUUUUGAAGGUGGAUUUGAUAGUAAUUUUAAAUAUUAUUUAAAAUGAUUCUAGCUCUAAGAUAUGUACAUAUCGCCCGUCGCUUUCAUUCCAAAAUGAAAUAAGUCGUAACAAAGUAGAUGUACUGGAAAGUGUCUCUAGAAUAA